GUUUUAGUAGCUUAAUUGGUAAAGCUCAAUAUUGUCAAUAUUGAAGAUGACGGAUCGUACCCGUUCUAAGACG